rnacentral:rRNA from 1 species
UACGGGGGGGGCAAGCGUUGUUCGGAAUUACUGGGCGUAAAGGGCUCGUAGGCGGCCAACUAAGUCGGACGUGAAAUCCCUCGGCUUAACCGGGGGACUGCGUCCGAUACUGGAUGGCUUGAGUUUGGGAGAGGGAUGCGGAAUUCCAGGUGUAGCGGUGAAAUGCGUAGAUAUCUGGAGGAACACCGGUGGCGAAGGCGGCAUCCUGGACCAACACUGACGCUGAGGAGCGAAAGCCAGGGGAGCAAACGGG